rnacentral:rRNA from 1 species
UACAGAGGGGGCAAGCGUUGUUCGGAAUUACUGGGCGUAAAGGGCGCGUAGGCGGCCUUCUAAGUCGAACGUGAAAUCCCCGGGCUCAACCCGGGAACUGCGUCCGAUACUGGAAGGCUUGAAUCCGGGAGAGGGAUGUGGAAUUCCAGGUGUAGCGGUGAAAUGCGUAGAUAUCAGGAGGAACACCGGUGGCGAAGGCGCUCAUCUGGCCCAAUACU